rnacentral:rRNA from 1 species
GAUGAACGCUAGCGGCAGGCUUAAUACAUGCAAGUCGUGGGGCAGCAUGAGUAGCAAUACUUGAUGGCGACCGGCAAACGGGUGAGGAACACGUACACAACCUUCCUUCAAGCGGGGAAUAGCCCAGAGAAAUUUGGAUUAAUACCCCAUAAUAUAUUUGAUAAGGCAUCUUAUUAGUAUUAAAGCUUCGGCACUUGAUGAUGGGUGUGCGGCUGAUUAGAUAGUUGGCGGGGUAACGGCCCACCAAGUCUACGAUCAGUAGCUGAUGUGAGAGCAUGAUCAGCCACACGGGCACUGAGACACGGGCCCGACUCCUACGGGAGGCAGCAGUAAGGAAUAUUGGACAAUGGACGAAAAGUCUGAUCCAGCCAUGCCGCGUGAAGGAUUAAAGGUCCUCUGGAUUGUAAAACUUCUUUUAUAUGGGACGAAAAAAAGGCAAUUCUUGUUCACUUGACGGUACCAAUAU